AUGAACGCUAGCGGCAGGCUUAACACAUGCAAGUCGAGGGGCAGCAUAAUGGUAGUAAUACUAUUGAUGGCGACCGGCGGACGGGUGCGUAACGCGUAUGCAACCUACCCUUUACAGGGGGAUAACACUGAGAAAUCGGUACUAAUACCCCAUAAUAUUCUGGGAGGCAUCUUUCGGAGUUGAAAGCUUUGGUGGUAAAGGAUGGGCAUGCGUUGUAUUAGCUAGUUGGUAAGGUAACGGCUUACCAAGGCGACGAUACAUAGGGGGACUGAGAGGUUAACCCCCCACAUUGGUACUGAGACACGGACCAAACUCCUACGGGAGGCAGCAGUGAGGAAUAUUGGUCAAUGGACGGAAGUCUGAACCAGCCAUGCCGCGUGCAGGAAGACGGCUCUAUGAGUUGUAAACUGCUUUUGUACGAGGGUAAACGCAGAUACGUGUAUCUGCCUGAAAGUAUCGUACGAAUAAGGAUCGGCUAACUCCGUGCCAGCAGCCGCGGUAAUACGGAGGAUCCAAGCGUUAUCCGGAUUUAUUGGGUUUAAAGGGUGCGUAGGCGGUUUAGUAAGUCAGCGGUGAAAUUUUGGUGCUUAACACCAAACGUGCCGUUGAUACUGCUGGGCUAGAGAGUAGUUGCGGUAGGCGGAAUGUAUGGUGUAGCGGUGAAAUGCUUAGAGAUCAUACAGAACACCGAUUGCGAAGGCAGCUUACCAAACUAUAUCUGACGUUGAGGCACGAAAGCGUGGGGAGCAAACAGGAUUAGAUACCCUGGUAGUCCACGCAGUAAACGAUGAUAGCUCGUUGUCGGCGAUACACAGUCGGUGACUAAGAGAAAUCGAUAAGCUAUCCACCUGGGGAGUACGUUCGCAAGAAUGAAACUCAAAGGAAUUGACGGGGGCCCGCACAAGCGGAGGAACAUGUGGUUUAAUUCGAUGAUACGCGAGGAACCUUACCCGGGCUUGAAAGUUACUGACGAUUCUGGAAACAGGAUUUCCCUUCGGGGCAGGAAACUAGGUGCUGCAUGGUUGUCGUCAGCUCGUGUCGUGAGAUGUUGGGUUAAGUCCCGCAACGAGCGCAACCCCUGUUUCUAGUUGCCAGCACGUCAAGGUGGGAACUCUAGAAAGACUGCCGUAGAUAAUACGGAGGAAGGUGGGGAUGACGUCAAAUCAGCACGGCCCUUACGUCCGGGGCGACACACGUGUUACAAUGGUAGGUACAGAGGGCAGCCACCCAGUGAUGGGGAGCGAAUCUCGAAAGCCUAUCUCAGUUCGGAUUGGAGGCUGAAACUCGCCUCCAUGAAGUUGGAUUCGCUAGUAAUCGCGCAUCAGCCAUGGCGCGGUGAAUACGUUCCCGGGCCUUGUACACACCGCCCGUCACACCAUGAGAGUUGGGAAUACCCGAAGCCUGUGAGCCAACUAUUUAUAGAGGCAGCAGUCGAAGGUAGAAUCAAUGAUUGGGGUG
rnacentral:rRNA from 1 species